rnacentral:rRNA from 1 species
GAUUUCCGAAUGGGGAAACCCAGUGUGUUUCGACACACUAUCAUUAACUGAAUCCAUAGGUUAAUGAGGCGAACCGGGGGAACUGAAACAUCUAAGUACCCCGAGGAAAAGAAAUCAACCGAGAUUCCCCCAGUAGCGGCGAGCGAACGGGGAGCAGCCCAGAGCCUGAAUCAGUAUGUGUGUUAGUGGAAGCGUCUGGAAAGGCGCGCGAUACAGGGUGACAGCCCCGUACACAAAAAUGCACAUGCUGUGAGCUCGAUGAGUAGGGCGGGACACGUGGUAUCCUGUCUGAAUAUGGGGGGACCAUCCUCCAAGGCUAAAUACUCCUGACUGACCGAUAGUGAACCAGUACCGUGAGGGAAAGGCGAAAAGAACCCCGGCGAGGGGAGUGAAAAAGAACCUGAAACCGUGU